AUUGAACGCUGGCGGCAUGCCUUACACAUGCAAGUCGAACGGCAGCACGGGGGCAACCCUGGUGGCGAGUGGCGAACGGGUGAGUAAUGCAUCGGAACGUGCCCAGUAGUGGGGGAUAACCCGGCGAAAGCCGGGCUAAUACCGCAUACGACCUAAGGGUGAAAGCGGGGGACCGUAAGGCCUCGCGCUAUUGGAGCGGCCGAUGUCUGAUUGGCUAGUUGGCGGGGCAAGAGCCCACCAAGGCGACGAUCAGUAGCUGGUCUGAGAGGACGACCAGCCACACUGGGACUGGGACACGGCCCAGACUCCUACGGGAGGCAGCAGCGGGGAAUUUUGGACAAUGGGCGCAAGCCUGAUCCAGCCAUGCCGCGUGCGGGAAGAAGGCCUUCGGGUUGUAAACCGCUUUUGGCAGGAACGAAACGGCGCAAGCCAAUACCUUGCGCUAAUGACGGUACCUGCAGAAUAAGCACCGGCUAACUACGUGCCAGCCGCCGCAGUAAGAC
rnacentral:rRNA from 1 species